rnacentral:rRNA from 1 species
AUUGAACGCUGGCGGAAUGCUUUACACAUGCAAGUCGAGCGGCAGCGCGGGGGCAACCCUGGCGGCGAGCGGCGAACGGGUGAGUAACAUAUCGGAACGUACCCUGUCGUGGGGGAUAACUAUCCGAAAGGAUAGCUAAUACCGCAUACGACCUGAGGGUGAAAGCGGGGGACCGCAAGGCCUCGCGCGAUAGGAGCGGCCGAUAUCGGAUUAGCUAGUUGGUGAGGUAAUGGCUCACCAAGGCAAAGACGGGUAGCUGGUCUGAGAGGAUGAUCAGCCACACUGGAACUGAGACACGGUCCAGACUCCUACGGGAGGCAGCAGUGGGGAAUAUUGCGCAAUGGGCGAAAGCCUGACGCAGCCACGCCGCGUGAGCGAUGAAGGUCUUCGGAUCGUAAAGCUCUGUGGGGGGAGAAGAAGAAAGCCGGUGAAGAGCCGGCCCUGACGGUAUCCCCUUAGUAAGCACCGGCUAACUCCGUGCCAGCAGCCG